rnacentral:rRNA from 1 species
GAUGAACGCUAGCGGGAGGCUUAAUACAUGCAAGUCGAGCGGCAAGGUCUUCGGACCCUAGAGCGGCGCACGGGUGAGUAACGCGUACGCAAUCUGCCCUUCAGUGAGGAAUAGCCCUGGGAAACUGGGAUUAAUACCUCAUAAUAUUAUUUAAUCGCAUGGUUAGAUAAUUAAAGUUCUGGCGCUGAAGGAUGAGCGUGCGUCUGAUUAGCUAGUUGGUAGGGUAACGGCCUACCAAGGCUACGAUCAGUAGGGGGCGUGAGAGCGUGACCCCCCACACGGGUACUGAGACACGGACCCGACUCCUACGGGAGGCAGCAGUAAGGAAUAUUGGGCAAUGGAGGCAACUCUGACCCAGCCAUCCCGCGUGAAGGAUUAAGGCCCUAUGGGUUGUAAACUUCUUUUGUUUGGGAAGAAAUCUGGACAUUUAUGUGCAGUUGACGGUACCUUACGAAUAAGCACCGGCUAACUCCGUGCCAGCCGCCGCAGUAAAAC